GGGGCAUUGUUUACACCAAAAUUAAAAAUAUGGCUAAAAAGCCAUAAAGCCCCUAUUCUUUUCAAAAGAUAAAAGAGGUAUUAUUAAUGAUUGGCUUAAAUUAAUUCUUAGAGGUUGACCAAUUUUGACCAAAGAGGGUGAUUUCUAAAAGUUGACUGUUUGACUAAGAAAGGUUGAUUUCUAGAGGUUGACUAAUGUUGACUUCAGAAGUUGAUUUCUAAAGGUUGAUUUCUAGAGGUUGACUACUCCAGAAGCUAAUUCAAAAAGUCCAAGUCCAGUUGCAGAAGAUUAAGCCCAAAUUUGAGAUGGCCAUUAAAUAUUAAUUUAAAUGGCCCAUAAGCCCAAAAAGUCCAUUUCAGAAGAAAAGAAGUUAAAAAGCACGUGCAGAAGUAAAGACACGAUUGGCAGUUCCUGAAGGUGGGGAAGAACGUGUGCAGUUGUGGUACAUGAAGCAGCAGUUUUCAAAGGAUGAAGCUAUAAAUAAGAGAAGAACAGCCAAUUUGCAACCCCCGAUCAAAUCCAACAAAAACCAGCCCAAAGGCAAAAACACUCAGCACUUAGCAUUCUCAAUUUUCUUCAAUCAGUAAAGAACUUUACGAUUGAACUUCUGCAAUUUCUACUCAAACACUUGUAUUUUCAUUUCAUUCAAUUAGUAAACACAUUUACAGUUGAA